rnacentral:rRNA from 1 species
AUUGAACGCUGGCGGCAGGCCUAACACAUGCAAGUCGAACGAGUGGCGGACGGGUGAGUAAUGUCUGGGAAACUGCCCGAUGGAGGGGGAUAACUACUGGAAACGGUAGCUAAUACCGCAUACUAUCAGAUGUGCCCAGAUGGGAUUAGCUAGUAGGUGUGGUAUAGGCUCAUCGAGGGGACGAUCCCUAGCGGUUCUGAGAGGAUGACCAGCAACACUGGGACUGAUACACGGUCCAUAUGCCUACGGGAGGCAGCAGUGGGGAAUAUUGCCCAAUGGGCGAAAGCCUGAUGCAGCCAUGCCGCGUGGUUGAAGAAGGCCUUCGGGUUGUAAAGCACUUUCAGCGGGGAGGCGGUACCCGCAGAAGAAGCACCGGCUAACUACGUGCCAGCAGCCGCGGUAAUUC